GAGGUUGUGGCUCAGCGGUAGAGCACUCGCCUGGUGUGUACGAAGCCCUGGGUUUGAUUCUCAGCACCACA
rnacentral:tRNA from 1 species